CAAUAGCGUAUAUUAAAGUUGUUGCGGUUAAAAAGCUCGUAGUUGGAUUUCUGCUGAGAACGACCGGUCCGCCCUCUGGGUGUGUAUCUGGCUCUUUCUUGGCAUCUUCUUGGUGAACGUUGCUGCACUUGACUGUGUGGAGCGCUACCCAGGACUUUUACUUUGAGGAAAUUAGAGUGUUUCAAGCAGGCAUACGCCUUGAAUACAUUAGCAUGGAAUAAUAAGAUAGGACCUCGGUUCUAUUUUGUUGGUUUCUAGAGCUGAGGUAAUGAUUAAUAGGGAUAGUUGGGGGCAUUCGUAUUUAACUGUCAGAGGUGGAAUUCUUGGAUUUGUUAAAGACGGACUACUGCGAAAGCAUUUGCCAAGGAUGUUUUCAUUGA
rnacentral:rRNA from 1 species